AAGUAAAAGUAUUUUCAUUCAUAAACAUGGCCAAAGAACGACUGUAUACAAGGGAUAUACCAAAAGAUUUAUCAUGCUUAUAAUGUUUGAGAUUUAUUUACCAGCAUUGGAAUGAAAUGGGUUCGGAUAGAGUGGAAUUCGAGUUCAAUGAUUCAAAUAGCGGAGCCGACUAGUUUAGGGUUGUGGCGCAGUUGAUUGAUUGAACUUUGAUAAUGUUUGGGCUGAUUGGGUCUGUAAAUGUUCCUCGUUUGUUGAUAUGAAGAUUACUUAUAGCAUGUUUCGCCAAGUUUCUUGGUAGCUAAAUGUGCUUAUUUUAAGAAAUCGAGGUGUUUGGCAAGCUUUUAGAAGAAAACAUUAAGUGCUUUUGAGUAGUAGCUAAGAAAAUCAUUUACUUUAUAAUCCUUAUAAAUAGUGGAUGACAUUUAUGCUUUUUACCACUCAACUGUUUGUCUCUUAUCCCUUCUCUAUAAUAUUUUGCUUACUAUUGUAAUAGAGGUAAGGUCUGCGUACACUCUAGCCUCCCCAGACCCCACUUUGUGGGAUUACACUGGGUAUGUUAUUGUUGUUGUUGUAUUGUAAUAGAGGAAGACAAUGAAGAGCUGUGAGUGCAAUGAAGGAUGGCAAUUUAUGGUUGUCAAACAUACAUAAAGAGGACACCACCAAAUAAUCUGUUGGUGAUGUCAUUUACAUUGAAGGAAACAGUGGAGCCGUUAAAAGAGUGGGCAGGAGUGAUGCUUUUGCCACAUAAUUUGAUCUUGAGGCAGAGAAGUAUGUUCCACUUCCUAAAGGAGAGGUUCACAAAAAAAAAAGGAAAUAGUCCAGGAUGUUACAUUGUAUGAUCUUGAUUCUGCGAAUGCGUGGCCACAAGGAGGACAAGAUAUAUUGUCCCUUAUGGGUCAAAUGAUGAAAUCUAGGAAAACUGAGAUUACUGACAAGUUACGGCAAGAGAUAAACAAGGUGUUGCAGAGCUUGUUCCAGGUGUCUUAUUUAUAGAUGAGGUUCACAUGCUUGAUAUGGAAUGCUUUUCAUACUUGAAUCGUGCCUCGGAGAGUUCACUUUCUCCGAUUGUGAUUUUUGCCACUAACAGAGGCAUUUGUACUGUCAGAAUCAAUUUCGACAAUCACUGGAGGAGUUACGCCGUAGUCUGCUACCUGGCGGCUGGCAUAAAGCUUACAGCAAAAGGAUGAAUUGUGGAUUGUGACUGUUCGUGGCGCCACUAGGUUUGGCACAGCUUACGCCACAAGAACACCAUCUUGUAGAUGAACCCACUAGUGGUGAUGAUGAUGGGGAGCACGUGUCAAACACGCAAUGACAUGGUUGGAUUUUAAAGUAUUUUACUAACUUAUGAAAUUUUUGGUGGAUUUGUAAAAAUGCAAGUGGUUGGUGGAUGUUUUUGAAUGUUGAAGUACUUUCAUUUACUAACUUAAUGUAGACUAGUUUAAUGUUUUGUGGAUGUUGGAAAAGGUUGAAGUAGUUUAAUGUCUUUUGUGAAUGUUUGAAUUACGUUUUGAUUCAACUUUGAAGUAGUUUCGAGUUGAAUUUGAUGUAGUGCGGGUUGUAGCAUGUUAUUAUAGUAUGUGUUUGUGGAUUGUUGGCA